AGCAAGCAGGAAGGCUGGAAAUAGAGGCAGUGAUGAGCUCACCUGGGGGCUCUGUGAGCCUUGGAAGAGGGGUGGAUUUAAUUCUAAGUGUAAUAGCAAAGUUGAUAAAAAGUGGAAUGAUAGGGUCUGAUUUAUAUUAAUUUCCCAGGGUCAAAGGCUGUCUUCUGGACCAAACUCUAGUCAGGUUCCUCUGAGUCUUUUUCUCAACUAGGCCUCAACCUUGGCCUCUAAAGACCUGAACAAACACUAGCAUUGUUUCUAGCAGCUCAAAGUUGCAUCCCUAAGACAUCUUCUUAAAGUGCCUGCCUGAGAAAACUCAAGGCCGACAAAAGAAUUUGUUUGUUCCAGCCAAGACCUGAAAACAGGGCCUUUGUCUUUCAGUCUCCGUGGUAAGGUAGAAGACUAAUUUUGGAAGAAAAAUAGAUAGAAAAAUGUAUAAUUAUAUCAGGCCCAUGAAGCUAAGUAAAGCAUGGUGAAGGAUUAAGGUGAGGAGAGAGUGCUAUUUCAGAUGGCCAAAGGAGAAGGCCUAUCUCCAAAAUAACACUUGAGUGAAGACCUGAAAGGAAGAAGUGAGCCACAAGAAAAACAGAAGGAAGAGUAUUUCAGGCAGAGGACAAUACAUAUAAAGGCUAAGAUACAAGCUGAGCAUCCCUACUCUGAAAAUCUGAAAUGCUUCAAAACCUGAAACUUUCGAAUGCCUGUAUGACAACUACAAGUGGAAAAUUCCACACCUGACUUCACGUGAUGGUUGAAGUCAAAACUCAGUCAAAACUGUUUUAUCCACAUUAUUUAAAAUAUCAUAGAAAAUUACCUUUAGGCUAUAUGUAUAAGUUAUAUAUAUAAAAUUAAUUUAAUGUUCAGUCCUGGGUGCCAUCCCUAAGAUAUCUAAUUAUAUAUAUGCAUAUAUUCCAAAAGCUGAAAAAGUCCAAAUCUAAAACACUUCCGGUCUGAAGGCUUUCAGAUAAGGGACAGUCAAUCUGUGUUAGAAUUCCAAAUCACUAAAAACACUCUCACCUAACUUCCUACCUUUAAAGGUGGGUAUUAAGGAUACCUCAGUCGAAUAAAUGUCAAACAACUAAGUUUUGUUUUUGUAUCAGGAUGUUUUUCCAUUUAUAAAGUAAAGGUACACUUCACAUACAAUAGUUUAAAAUAUCACAAAUGCAUUUUUAUGUCACCAUAAUUAUAGUAUUAAAAACUUACAAA